UAUUCGAAUGUACAUUUCAUC
rnacentral:piRNA from 1 species